rnacentral:rRNA from 1 species
CCUACGGGGGGCAGCAGUGAGGAAUAUUGGUCAAUGGGCGGGAGCCUGAACCAGCCAAGUAGCGUGAAGGAUGACAGUCCUACGGGUUGUAAACUUCUUUUAUAAGGGAAUAAAGUGCCUUACGUGUGGGGUUUUGUAUGUACCUUAUGAAUAAGGAUCGGCUAAUUCCGUGCCAGCAGCCGCGGUAAUACGGAAGAUGCGAGCGUUAUCCGGAUUUAUUGGGUUUAAAGGGAGCGUAGGCGGUUCCAUAAGUCAGCGGUAAAAUCGUGCGGCUCAACCGUACCGUGCCGUUGAAACUGUGGUACUGGAGUAUGCGGAGGGCAGGUGGAAUUCGUGGUGUAGCGGUGAAAUGCUUAGAUAUGACGAAGAACUCCGAUCGCGAAGGCAGUGUGCUGGAGCGAGACUGACGCUGAGGCUCGAAAGUGCGGGUAUCAAACAGGAUUAGAUACCCGUGUAGUC